UACGUAGGGUGCGAGCGUUAAUCGGAAUUACUGGGCGUAAAGAGUGCGUAGGCGGAUGUAUAAGUUAGAUGUGAAAUACCUGGGCUUAACCUAGGAGGUGCAUUUAAGACUGUAUGUCUAGAGUUUGUCAGAGGGGGGUAGAAUUCCAAGUGUAGCAGUGAAAUGCGUAGAGAUUUGGAGGAAUACCGAUGGCGGAGGCAGCCCCCUGGGAUAGAACUGACGCUGAGGCACGAAAGCGUGGGUAGCAAACAGG
rnacentral:rRNA from 1 species